rnacentral:rRNA from 1 species
UACGUAGGGUGCAAGCGUUGUCCGGAAUUAUUGGGCGUAAAGAGCUCGUAGGCGGUUUGUCGCGUCUGCUGUGAAAACCCGAGGCUCAACCUCGGGCCUGCAGUGGGUACGGGCAGACUAGAGUGCGGUAGGGGAGAUUGGAAUUCCUGGUGUAGCGGUGGAAUGCGCAGAUAUCAGGAGGAACACCAAUGGCGAAGGCGGAUCUCUGGGCCGAUACUGACGCUGAGGAGCGAAAGCGUGGGGAGCGAACAGG